UACGGAGGGGGCUAGCGUUGUUCGGAAUUACUGGGCGUAAAGCGCACGUAGGCGGCUUUGUAAGUUAGAGGUGAAAGCCCAGGGCUUAACCCUGGAAUUGCCUUUAAGACUGCAUCGCUAGAAUCGUGGAGAGGUAAGUGGAAUUCCGAGUGUAGAGGUGAAAUUCGUAGAUAUUCGGAAGAACACCAGUGGCGAAAGCGGCGCGCUGGACCUCUUCUGACGCUGAGGCGCGAAAGCCAGGGGAGCAAAGCGGG
rnacentral:rRNA from 1 species